rnacentral:rRNA from 1 species
AACGAACGCUGGCGGCAGGCCUAACACAUGCAAGUCGAGCGGGGACUUCGGGCCUAGCGGCGGACGGGUGAGUAACGCGUGGGAACGUGCCCUUUGCUUCGGAAUAGCCCUGGGAAACGGGGAGUAAUACCGGAUGAGCCCUUUGGGGGAAAGAUUUAUCGGCGAAGGAUCGGCCCGCGUUGGAUUAGGUAGUUGGUGGGGUAAUGGCCUACCAAGCCGACGAUCCAUAGCUGGUUUGAGAGGAUGAUCAGCCACACUGGGACUGAGACACGGCCCAGACUCCUACGGGAGGCAGCAGUGGGGAAUCUUAGACAAUGGGGGAAACCCUGAUCUAGCCAUGCCGCGUGAGCGAUGAAGGCCUUAGGGUUGUAAAGCUCUUUCAGCUGGGAAGAUAAUGACGGUACCAGCAGAAGAAGCCCCGGCUAACUCCGUG